rnacentral:rRNA from 1 species
AUGGCAAAGCCGGCCUAUGCGACAAGCAGCCUCGUUUUAGGAUAUGCUUUAUGCUCAAGCUUGCUUGCGAUCAUUAACAAGUACGCCAUCACCAAGUUCAGCUACCCUGGCCUCCUCACUGCCCUACAAUACUUGACAUCCGUGGUUGGAGUUUGGAGCCUUGGGAAGCUCGGUUUCCUCUACCAUGAGCCCUUCAACUUCCAGAUUGCCAAAAAGUAUGCGCCUGCUGCUCUUGUCUUCUACCUCGCCAUAUUCACCAACACCCACCUCCUGAAGCAUGCCAAUGUCGAUACAUUUAUAGUGUUCAGAUCCUUGACCCCUCUGCUGGUUGCUCUCGCUGACACCACCUUCCGGAAGCAGCCAUGUCCUUCAAAGCUCACAUUCUUGUCCCUGGUGAUUAUCUUGGGAGGCGCAGUUGGCUAUGUGAUGACAGAUUCAGGGUUCACCCUCACAGCAUACUCGUGGGCAGUUGCUUAUCUGAUCACCAUAACUACUGAAAUGGUGUACAUAAAGCACAUGGUGACUAACCUGGGUCUCAGCACAUGGGGCUUUGUGAUCUACAACAAUCUUCUUUCACUGCUAAUGGCCCCCGUGUUUGGGGUUCUGACGGGGGAGCACCUGUCGGUCUUCAGAGCCAUUGAAUCAAGGGGCCAAGGCUGGUUCGAACUUGACGCGUUUGUUGCUGUGUCGCUGUCCUGCGUGUUCGGGGUGCUCAUUAGCUUCUUUGGUUUCGCGGCAAGGAAAGCGGUCUCUGCCACAGCGUUUACAGUGACGGGGGUCGUCAACAAGUUCCUGACAGUUGCAAUCAAUGUUAUGAUCUGGGACAAGCACGCAAAUGCAUUUGGUUUGGUUUGCUUGCUCUUCACUCUGGCAGGUGGAAUACUCUAUCAGCAGUCUGUCAAAAGUAAAGGAAGUACUCCAGCGCAUCGUGAGGCUGUAGCUAACAAAGGCCGUGGUGAUGAUGAUGAAGCUGAGUUUGAUCCGGAGAAGCAAAGCUUAGUUUCGUCUCCAAAGGACUCAGAUGCCUGA